GAUUCGGCCCGCUGCUCCCUGGCAACGAACUUUCAUACUUUCUUUAAUCUGUCUUUCUUUAUCUACCACUGUCUUGGUAAAUUCUUUUACUCCCACACUCAGAAAGUCGUCACUCACUGGCGACACGUUGAAAGAGUUCUUUCAACUCUGUAUUUCUGCCUCUGUCUCUGCUCAUUCCAUUUCCCGCUACUUGAAAUGCUUCUCCAGUAGAUUAAAAUUCUGCCUAUUGUUAAAGACGCAGGGACAAGCUCCACGUCCUCCAGGAAAUCCCUGCAGACUCUGGCCUUCGUUGCCUUUUCUGAGCUCCUGUAGCAUCCUUCCUCUGCUACCUUUCAUUGGAUAACUUUAGUUGUUUAUUUUAAAACCACUGUUUGAACUCUCUCUACGUGUUAGGCAAAGAAUAUACAAAUGAACAUUAGCAUUUCAGUGGGGUACCUUUACUGUUUUAUAGAAACUGAGUUAUAAGAGAGGCUCAAUGACUUGGCCGAUCUCAUGUAGAUUAAUGAACAAGGAGUGUAUCAGGACCGGGACACAAGUCGUUCCCAAGACAAGCAAUAGUCCCUGUCCUUCCUACUCAUAAAAGGGUUAACCUAGCAUUUCUUUGCCGUGAAACAAAAGCGGCCGCGGAUAGAGAAGCUUGUCCUGUGAGGGAUUCCGUAGAGACACUCCUCCGCUGCCUGAGUCCCCGGCGAACAUGGCGGCCCCCGAGUCAGGGCCGGCUUUGAGUCCAGGCACUGCAGAGGGUGAGGAGGAGACGAUUCUCUAUGACUUGUUGGUCAACACCGAGUGGCCACCGGAGACUGAAGUACAGCCUAGAGGCAACCAAAAACAUGGUGCAUCCUUUAUCAUCACGAAAGCAAUUCGAGAUCGUUUAUUAUUUUUACGCCAAUACAUCUGGUACAGCCCGGCACCUUUUUUGCUCCCUGAUGGACUGGUUCGCUUGGUUAAUAAACAGAUAAACUGGCAUUUGGUACUUGCAAGCAAUGGAAAGCUUUUGGCUGCUGUUCAAGAUCAGUGUGUGGAAAUCAGGUCUGCAAAAGAUGAUUUUACAUCCAUUAUUGGGAAAUGUCAAGUUCCGAAAGACCCGAAACCCCAGUGGAGACGGGUAGCAUGGAGUUACGAUUGUACCCUACUGGCCUAUGCCGAAAGCACAGGAACUGUGAGGGUGUUUGAUCUCAUGGGAAGUGAACUCUUUGUCAUUUCCCCGGCAUCUAGUUUUAUAGGUGACUUAAGCUAUGCCAUUGCUGGGUUGAUAUUUUUAGAAUAUAAAGCAAGUGCACAGUGGUCUGCAGAACUCCUGGUCAUCAAUUACCGAGGAGAACUUAGAAGUUACCUUGUAAGUGUUGGAACAAAUCAGAGCUACCAAGAAAGUCACUGUUUCAGCUUCAGUAGUCAUUAUCCUCAUGGAAUCAACACAGCUAUUUACCACCCUGGUCACAGACUUUUACUUGUUGGUGGAUGUGAAACUGCUGAAGUAGGCAUGUCAAAAGCUUCUAGCUGUGGCCUUUCUGCCUGGAGAGUUCUUUCAGGAUCACCGUAUUACAAGCAGGUUACUAAUGGUGGAGACAGGGUUACUGCAGUACCAAAGACACUGGGAUUAUUAAGGAUGUUAAGUGUCAAGUUUUACAGUCACCAGGGACAAGAACAGGAUGGAAUUUUUAAGAUGAGCCUUUCUCCAGAUGGGAUGCUCCUGGCAGCCAUUCACUUCUCAGGGAAACUGAGCAUCUGGGCGAUUCCAUCUCUGAAGCAACAAGGGGAAUGGAGUCAAAAUGAGCAGCCAGGCUAUGAUGACCUUAAUCCUGAUUGGAGGCUCUCUACUGAGAAGAGAAAAAAAAUCAAAGAUAAAGAGUCCUUUUACCCACUGAUAGAUGUCAGUUGGUGGGCAGACAGUGCAGUGACUUUAGCUCGAUGCUCUGGUGCUUUAACUGUUUCAUCCGUGAAAACUUUGAAGAAUUUACUGGGAAAAUCCUGUGAAUGGUUUGAACCAUCACCUCAAGUCACUGCUACCCAUGAUGGGGGAUUUUUAAGUUUGGAGUGUGAGAUUAAACUUGCCCCCAAACGAUCUCGUUUGGAGACUAGGGCUGGAGAAGAAGAUGAAGGAGAAGAGGAUUCUGAUUCUGAUCAUGAAAUAUCUGCCAAGGCUCGCUACUUUGGUUAUAUAAAACAGGGCCUUUACUUAGUGACUGAAAUGGAGCGAUUUGCACCACCACGGAAACGCCCACGAACCAUUACUAAAAACUACCGCCUUGUGAGUUUGCGCUCCACGACACCAGAGGAACUUUAUCAGAGGAAGAUUGAAAGUGAAGAGUAUGAGGAAGCCUUGUCCUUGGCUCAUACCUACGGCCUGGAUACUGACCUUGUAUAUCAGAGGCAGUGGAGGAAGUCAGCGGUCAACGUUGCUUCAAUUCAGAAUUAUUUGAGUAAAAUAAAGAAACGAUCCUGGGUUCUCCAUGAGUGUUUGGAAAGAGUUCCUGAAAAUGUGGAUGCUGCAAAAGAACUGCUUCAGUAUGGAUUAAAAGGCACAGACCUGGAGGUUCUUUUAGCAAUAGGGAAAGGAGCAGAUGAUGGCAGAUUUACAUUACCUGGUGAAAUAGACAUUGACAGUAUCUCCUAUGAAGAGCUUUCACCACCUGAUGAAGAGCCUGCCAAGAAUAAAAAGGAAAAGGAGCUCAAGAAGAGACAAGAACUACUGAAAUUAGUGAACUUUUCCAAGUUGACACUGGAACAAAAGGAACUUUGCCGUUGUAGAUGGAAGUUAUUAACCUACUUAGAUCGACUUGCAACAUAUGAGGAAAUCCUAGGAGUGCCUCAUGCAUCUGAACAGAGAUAUGAUGCUGAAUUCUUUAAGAAAUUCAGAAAUCAGAAUAUUGUUCUCUCAGCAAGAACUUAUGCUCAGGAAAGUAAUGUACAAGCCCUAGAAAUUCUGUUUACUUACCAUGGUUCUGACCUGCUUCCUCAUCGCCUUGCAAUUCUGUCCAACUUUCCAGAGACCACUUCUCCACAUGAAUAUUCUGUUUUGCUGCCCGAAGCUUGUUUUAACGGUGACUCCCUGAUGAUCAUUCCUUGGCAUGAACAUAAACACCGAGCUAAAGAUUGGUGCGAGGAGUUGGCUUGCAGAAUGGUUGUUGAGCCGAAUCUCCAAGAUGAAAGUGAAUUCUUGUAUGCUGCACAGCCUGAGUUACUAAGGUUCAGGAUGACCCAGCUUACGGUGGAGAAGGUUGUGGACUGGUAUCAGACCAGAGCAGAGGAAAUAGAGCAUUAUGCUCGGCAGGUGGACUGUGCAUUGUCACUUAUUCGACUUGGGAUGGAGCGGAAUAUUCCUGGUUUGCUGGUUCUCUGUGACAAUUUGGUUACUCUGGAAACAUUGGUUUAUGAAGCCAGGUGUGAUGUAACUCUAACCCUGAAAGAACUCCAGCAGAUGAAAGACAUUGAAAAACUAAGAUUACUGAUGAAUAGUUGUUCUGAGGACAAAUAUGUGACAAGUGCCUACCAGUGGAUGGUUCCCUUUCUUCAUCGUUGUGAGAAACAGUCGCCUGGUGUGGCUAAUGAGCUAUUAAAAGAAUAUUUAGUAACUUUAGCUAAAGGGGACUUAAAAUUUCCCCUGAAGAUAUUUCAGCAUUCCAAACCAGAUCUGCAGCAAAAAAUUAUUCCUGAUCAGGACCAACUGAUGGCAAUAGCACUAGAGUGCAUCUAUACCUGUGAACGAAAUGAUCAACUCUCUCUUUGCUAUGACAUACUAGAAUGUCUGCCAGAAAGAGGAUAUGGUGAUAAGACAGAGGCAACCACAAAGCUUCAUGACAUGGUAGACCAACUGGAACAAAUUCUCAGUGUGUCAGAGCUUUUGGAAAAACAUGGACUCGAGAAACCAAUUUCAUUUGUUAAAAACACUCAAUCUAGCUCGGAAGAGGCACGCAAGCUGAUGGUUAGAUUGACGAGGCACACUGGCCGGAAGCAGCCUCCUGUCAGUGAGUCUCAUUGGAGAACGUUGCUGCAAGACAUGUUAACUAUGCAGCAGAAUGUAUACACAUGUCUAGAUUCUGAUGCCUGCUAUGAGAUAUUUACAGAAAGCCUUCUGUGCUCUAGUCGCCUUGAAAACAUCCACCUGGCUGGACAGAUGAUGCACUGCAGUGCUUGUUCAGAAAAUCCUCCAGCUGGUAUAGCCCAUAAAGGGAAACCCCACUACAGGGUCAGCUACGAAAAGAGUAUUGACUUGGUUUUGGCUGCCAGCAGAGAGUACUUCAAUUCUUCUACCAACCUCACUGAUAGCUGCAUGGAUCUAGCCAGGUGCUGCUUACAACUGAUAACAGACAGACCCCCUGCCAUUCAAGAGGAGCUAGAUCUUAUCCAAGCCGUUGGAUGUCUUGAAGAAUUUGGGGUAAAGAUCCUGCCUUUGCAAGUGCGAUUGUGCCCUGAUCGGAUCAGUCUCAUCAAGGAGUGUAUUUCCCAGUCCCCCACAUGCUAUAAACAAUCCACCAAGCUUCUGGGCCUUGCUGAGCUGCUGAGGGUUGCAGGUGAGAACCCAGAAGAAAGGCGGGGACAGGUUCUAAUCCUUUUAGUGGAGCAGGCACUUCGCUUCCAUGACUACAAAGCAGCCAGUAUGCAUUGUCAGGAGCUGAUGGCCACAGGUUAUCCUAAAAGUUGGGAUGUUUGUAGCCAGUUAGGACAAUCAGAAGGUUACCAGGACUUGGCCACUCGUCAAGAGCUCAUGGCUUUUGCUUUGACACAUUGCCCUCCUAGCAGCAUUGAACUUCUUUUGGCAGCUAGCAGCUCUCUGCAGACAGAAAUUCUUUAUCAAAGAGUGAAUUUCCAGAUCCAUCAUGAAGGAGGGGAAAAUAUCAGUGCUUCACCAUUAACUAGUAAAGCAGUACAAGAGGAUGAAGUAGGUGUUCCAGGUAGCAAUUCAGCUGACCUAUUACGCUGGACCACUGCUACCACCAUGAAAGUCCUUUCCAACACCACAACCACCACCAAAGCGGUGCUGCAGGCCGUCAGUGAUGGGCAGUGGUGGAAGAAGUCUUUAACUUACCUUCGACCCCUUCAGGGGCAAAAAUGUGGUGGUGCAUAUCAAAUCGGAACUACAGCCAAUGAAGAUCUAGAGAAACAAGGGUGUCAUCCUUUUUAUGAAUCUGUCAUCUCAAAUCCUUUUGUCACUGAGUCUGAAGGGACCUAUGACACCUAUCAGCAUGUUCCAGCGGAAAGCUUUGCAGAAGUAUUGCUGAGAACUGGAAAAUUGGCAGAGGCUAAAAAUAAAGGAGAAGUAUUUCCAACAACUGAAGUUCUCUUGCAACUAGCAAGUGAAGCCUUGCCAAAUGACAUGACCUUGGCUCUUGCUUACCUUCUUGCCUUACCACAAGUGUUAGAUGCUAACCGGUGCUUUGAAAAGCAGUCCCCCUCUGCAUUAUCUCUCCAGCUGGCAGCGUAUUACUAUAGCCUCCAGAUCUAUGCCCGAUUGGCCCCAUGUUUCAGGGACAAGUGCCAUCCUCUUUACAGGGCUGAUCCCAAAGAACUAAUCAAGAUGGUCACCAGGCAUGUGACUCGACAUGAGCACGAAGCCUGGCCUGAAGACCUUAUUUCACUGACCAAGCAGUUACACUGCUACAAUGAACGUCUCCUGGAUUUCACUCAGGCGCAGAUCCUUCAGGGCCUUCGGAAGGGUGUGGACGUGCAGCGGUUUACUGCAGAUGACCAGUAUAAAAGGGAAACUAUCCUUGGUCUGGCAGAAACUCUAGAGGAAAGCGUCUACAGCAUUGCUCUUUCUCUGGCACAACGUUACAGUGUCUCCUGCUGGGAAGUUUUUAUGACCCAUUUGGAGUUCCUCUUCACAGACAGUGGUUUGUCCACACUAGAAAUUGAAAAUAGAGCCCAAGACCUUCAUCUCUUUGAGACUUUGAAGACUGAUCCAGAAGCCUUUCACCAGCACAUGGUCAAGUAUAUUUACCCCACUAUUGGUGGCUUUGAUCACGAAAGGCUGCUGUAUUAUUUCACUCUUCUGGAAAACUGUGGCUGUGCAGAUUCGGGGAACUGUGCCAUUAAACCAGAAACCCACAUUCGACUGCUGAAGAAGUUUAAGGUUGUUGCAUCAGGUCUUAAUUACAAAAAGCUGACAGAUGAAAACAUGAGUCCUCUUGAAGCAUUGGAGCCAGUUCUUUCAAGUCAAAAUAUCUUGUCUAUUUCCAAACUUGUUCCCAAAAUCCCUGAAAAGGAUGGACAGAUGCUUUCCCCAAGCUCUCUGUACACCAUCUGGUUACAGAAGUUGUUCUGGACUGGAGACCCUCAUCUCAUUAAACAAGUCCCAGGCUCUUCACCGGAGUGGCUUCAUGCCUAUGAUGUCUGCAUGAAGUACUUUGAUCGUCUCCACCCAGGUGACCUCAUCACUGUGGUAGAUGCAGUUACAUUUUCUCCAAAAGCUGUGACCAAGCUGUCUGUGGAAGCCCGUAAAGAGAUGACUAGAAAGGCUAUUAAGACAGUCAAACAUUUUAUUGAGAAGCCAAGGAAAAGAAACUCAGAAGACGAAACUCAAGAAGCUAAGGAUUCUAAAGUUACCUAUGCAGAUACUUUGAAUCAUCUGGAGAAAUCACUUGCCCACCUGGAAACCCUGAGCCACAGCUUCAUCCUUUCUCUGAAGAAUAGUGAGCAGGCAACACUGCAAAAAUACAGUCACCUCUAUGAUCUGUCCCGAUCAGAAAAAGAGAAACUUCAUGAUGAAGCUGUGGCUAUUUGUUUAGAUGGUCAGCCUCUAGCAAUGAUUCAGCAGCUGCUAGAGGUGGCAGUUGGCCCUCUUGACAUCUCACCCAAGGAUAUAGUGCAGAGUGCAAUCAUGAAAAUAAUUUCUGCAUUGAGUGGUGGCAGUGCUGACCUUGGUGGGCCAAGGGACCCACUGAAGGUCCUGGAAGGUGUUGUUGCAGCAGUCCACGCCAGUGUGGACAAGGGGGAGGAGCUGGUUUCACCUGAGGACCUGCUGGAGUGGCUGCGGCCUUUCUGUGCUGAUGACGCCUGGCCGGUGCGGCCCCGCAUUCACGUGCUGCAGAUUUUGGGGCAAUCAUUUCACCUGACUGAGGAGGACAGCAAGCUCCUCGUGUUCUUUAGAACUGAAGCCAUUCUCAAAGCCUCCUGGCCCCAGAGACAGGUAGACAUAGCUGACAUUGAGAAUGAAGAGAACCGCUACUGUCUAUUCAUGGAACUCCUGGAAUCUAGUCACCACGAGGCUGAAUUUCAGCACUUGGUUUUACUUUUGCAAGCUUGGCCACCUAUGAAAAGUGAAUAUGUCAUAACCAAUAAUCCAUGGGUGAGACUAGCUACAGUGAUGCUAACCAGAUGUACGAUGGAGAACAAGGAAGGAUUGGGGAAUGAAGUUUUGAAAAUGUGUCGCUCUUUGUAUAACACCAAGCAGAUGCUGCCUGCAGAGCUCCCAUGCUUACAGACUUUUAAAAAAAUUCACGACUCCUCAGAAUGCCUUCGUGACUCCUGCUGUUGCUCCUGGGACUUGCUUACUUACGGCCAUGAUGGUUUUCCUGAUGGAAAAUAUUACCAGCAGGAUGAGUGACUUUCUCACAGGUCCUGUGUACCACAGUCUCAAAAGUUAUGUAUCCUUCUUCUCAGCUUGUAUCCAUGGCAGUAUAUAAAGCCCUCUCAAGACUUGGGAAUAGGUAGAAUAAGAAAUUGGCAUAAACAGUUUGUUGGCAUUUAUAGAUGUAAAAUUCCGAGGUCCCGCUAUUUGUGACUGACCCUGAAGGUCCAGGAUUUCGCUGAGACGAAACAUGGGUUAGUCACCGAUGCUUGGGGUCUAUUGUAUGGGAUUAAGUCACCCAGCUCAUGAGUGAGCCUUAAUAAUUCCCAGCUUCUAAAAGUCAAUGUGAUUGUUCUCUAUCAGGGUUGAGCCACUUUUGCUAAUGUCAAGAGCUUGAUUUUUAGAAUCAGUCAAGUUAUGCAAUAACACUCAAGUUAUUUAACCAUUUUACCUCUGCUUUCCCCGUCUGAUUAGUAGGGCUGAGAUCACACCUUUCUCAAAGGAUUUGAGGAGAAAUUAAAUGAGAUGAUGCAUUUCAAAGCAAAGUAUAUAACAAACACUUGAUGUUCAGCUCAGAGCAGCUGCCUUGCUGGUAGAGAUCACAGUCCAAGAGGCAUGGCUAGUGCCCUGGAGGUCGAGCAGCAGGCCCAGCACAACCUGAGAGGCUCUGGAGAACACAAAACCAAAGCCGCUGCAGUGCCCAGUUGGCCCAGGUACAGUGCCUGGUGGCCAGUGUGGAGGCCCAGCUGGCAAAGAUUGUGAUCAACCUGGGGCUGCAGAACCAGCAGUGCCAGGGGCUUCUGGACAUCCAGGCAACAGCAAUGGGAGCUCAGCCCAUUCUAGGCCUGCUGGAGGGCAAGGACUGCAAGCUGCCUUGCAGCCCCCAUGCAAUGCCUGGGGCAUGUGAUAAGCCCCUCGGUCUCUGCAUCACCAAUCCCUGCACACCUUGUGCCCCUAGUUCCUGCUGUAGGCCCUGCAACACCUUUUGAUGCUAGAUACUCCAGGGACAGUAGGAGAGUUGUGUGAGGACAGAAGGCAUAUUUGUGAACUGGUCCUGCUUCUCUCAUGACUGUCAGACCAUGGGAACAGUGCCCCAGUGCAUCUCAUAAAUCAUAGUCCACAGGGAAAAGAAACAUCCGGGUUUGUGGCCUGGCUCUAAGCCUGGGCCCACCUAGUCCUCUCCAUCCAAGGCAUCUCUUGUUCGUUCUGUCCUCAUGGUCUGACAGGUUUGAACAGCAAAGGCCUGUCAAAUGACGUGUUUUGUGGCUUUUCUCUGCUGCUUCGACCUUUCUUGCAGUUCCCCAAAUCCCUUUGUAGAUCUCUUAAUAAACGUUCUCUUGCAACACAGGGGGAAAAUAGCAAACAAACAUAGUAGAGGAUUUAGCACUUAAAGACAGAGUAAGUAUUUGGCCAAUCACUGGUAGCUAAGAGAUGAAAAGUAGUCAGUGGCUCACCUAAAGUGGGUUCCUCCCUUCUUGGAUAUCCUUGCCUCUCUGUGUGCCAUCUAUCCAUUAUGCUUGCUCAGAGGGGCACACAGGUUAUUCCAUAAAAUUUGUCAUGAAAGCCAAGGUCAGCCAAGUGUCAUGCUAUGUCUAAAUAACAUAAAUCCUUGAAAAUGCAUGUUUACUCAUCACUGAUAACUUUUUGAGUGAGCAAAUGUGUGUUCAGAGAGGGAAUUAUAUACAAGGAGUUUUAGGUAUGGCAUGUACCAAGCAAGUUUAGAAUACAGAGAAGGAACAAUAUUCUUGCCCAAAAGCAAGGCAGGUAGACCGAUGAAUGACUACCAUAAUACAAGAUAAAAGAUAAGGUGGGAAAUAUUUAUACAGUACAUUUAGAACAUUGAGUGCUAACCUGGGACAUUCAAGGGUGCUUUUGCGGAGGAAGUAUAGUUUUUCUGUGCAUUUUUAAACUGAGACUUAAAGAGCAAGUAGAUGGUUAAUCAGACAGAGAAAGAGCAAAAGUUACACUAUGUGCAAACACCUGGAGGUGUGAGAGUCCAGCACCCAGCAGCCAUACUGCCUAAUAUGGUAGCCGCUGGCCCCAUGUGGCUUAUUAAACCCUUUAAGUAAAAUUAAAAAUGCAGUUUCUCGGUUGCACUAGCCCCACCUCAAAUGUAGCUUGUGCCUUGUGGCUGCGGUAUUGGGCAGUGCAGAUACAGAAUGUGUGUGUUGUGUCAGAAGGGGCCCCGCACAUCACUUGGUGUGGAAUGCUUAGGUGGGGAGCACUGCCAUGACCCGAGAGGAGGAGGAAGAGGCGACAGGAUGCAGCCAGCCAGGCCAGAGUGCCAUGCUCAGGAGCUUGUUUCAUGCUCCAAAUAAUCUUCUGCAGGUUUCGGCAUCCCGGUUGAAAAGUCUGCCUGUUUCUUUGCCCCAGAUGCUUGGUGAGACUGCUCUGUGUCACAUGUUCUUUCAGGCAUACACCGUACUUUUUUGAAUUAGAAUUCCCAAUGUAUGAGGAAUGUGUUUUACAAACUGCUACCCUGCUGGUAUUGAUCAUUGUCACACAGGUUUGUGUAGCACAGCCUUCUACUCUGAAAUGUGAGGGCCUUGCAGAUUUCAAGAACAGACAUGCUGGGUGAAAGCUAAAACUAUAAUGUGCAGAAUUCCCAAGAGAACUUUAUCCUGAGUUUAAAUGCGAGCUUACUUGUGUCAUUCUUAUUUUAUUGAUGCUCUAUAAUAAUGUAAAGCAAUUUUGAAAAUAUAGUAAAUUUGAGUUUUUCUUCUCCGAUCUGCUGUCUGAAUGGCACAAGAGAAAAAUCAAUCCCGUGGAUACCAAUGAUCGUCAGUUCUUUAGAGCAACCCUUGCUUUAGUGUAAUGGAGUCAUUCAUUGUCUGGUUUUUGGUCCAAAGUGUUCUCUUCUUUAUGUUACAGCUAAAGUCAGGACCUGAAUGGCAACACAGCUCAGCAGGGCGAAACAGAUUGCAAAUCUUAUUCUUAUUGUUUUAUGCUUUUGUUGUAAAGGAUUAUCAUUUGUUACCUUAUAUGAAAGCCUGCUCUGUGACCACAGGUUCAGUUAGUAAAAUAAAGGGCUGAGAAUAAAAUUCAGAUACACCUGUGGAGAUCCAAACACAUUUUCAUUUUUCUGCAACACAGAUAGUUUUCAUGGAGAUAGACUGUCUUAAGUAUAUUAAGGAGUCAAUUCAUUUUGACAUUAAAAUGAUAGAUACAUUUUAAAAUAUUUUAUUUGCUGAUUUCCUUUGUUUCAGUGAAUGACAACUAGAGGUUGUUAACAAUAUUAGCAAUUGAUAAUACUUUUCAUUAUAAUUCAGCCUCCACUAUAUGCUGAGCAUUGUAUGCUGCAUUCAUCAAUACAAACUCUCUCUCUCUCUCACACACACACACACAAAACACAAAACCUGCAGAGGAGCUAUAAAUACAUACAUUUUACUUAUGAGGAAAUUAGGGCUGUGAGAGUUUAGGAAAAUAAAUUAUACCACUAUAUAUGUACAAUGAGCAUUACAAAGCCAUUAAAAAGCAAUGUUGUCGAUGAAUAUCUGACAGCUUGGAAAUCUGUACACAGUUUACUGUGAACCAAGUGAAGCAGGUACCAACGCCCAUAUUCAGUAUAUCCAGUGCGGUACCAUAUGUGGCUUUACACACACACACACACACGCUACCACAGAAAAAGGGGUGGAAUGAUCCAGCCAGAACCGUGCCGGUGAGAAGUACGUCGUGGAGUUCUCGCUCACCCCUGCUCUGUGGUUUCAGGGUGUGAAGGAGCUGUGUCUGCUGCUGCUUAACCAGUCCCUCCUGCUUCCAUCUCUGAAACUUCUCCUCGAGAGCCGAGAUGAGCAUCUGCACGAGAUGGCACUGGAGCAAAUCACGGCAGUCACUACGGUGAAUGAUUCCAAUUGUGACCAAGAACUUCUUUCCCUGCUCCUGGAUGCCAAGCUGCUGGUGAAGUGUGUCUCCACUCCCUUCUAUCCACAUAUUGUUGACCACCUCUCGGCUAGCCUCCAGCAAGGGCGCUGGGAUGCAGAGGAGCUGGGCAGACACCUGCGGGAGGCCGGCCAUGAAGCCGAAGCCGGGUCUCUCCUUCUGGCCGUGAGGCGGACUCACCGGGCCUUCAGAACCUUCAGUACAGCCCUCCGUGCAGCACAGCACUGGGUGUGAGGGCCGCCUGUGGCCCUGCUCCUUAGCAGAAAAAGCAUCUGGAGUUGAAUGCUGUUCCCAGAAGCAACAUGUGUAUCUGCCGAUUGUUCUCCGUGGUUCCAACAAAUUGCAAAUAAAACUGUAUGGAAAUGA